CCUACGGGAGGCAGCAGUGGGGAAUAUUGCGCAAUGGGCGAAAGCCUGACGCAGCGACGCCGCGUGAGGGAUGAAGGUCUUCGGAUCGUAAACCUCUGUCAGCAGGGAAGAACGGUCACUGUGCUAAUCAGCAGUGAAUUGACGGUACCUGCAAAGGAAGCACCGGCUAACUCCGUGCCAGCAGCCGCGGUAAUACGGAGGGUGCGAGCGUUAAUCGGAAUUACUGGGCGUAAAGCGCUCGUAGGCGGUAUGUCAAGUCAAGGGUGAAAUCCCCGCGCUCAACGUGGGAACUGCCUUUGAAACUGGCAGACUGGAGUGUGUGAGAGGAUAGUGGAAUUCCAGGUGUAGGAGUGAAAUCCGUAGAUAUCUGGAGGAACAUCAGUGGCGAAGGCGACUAUCUGGCACAUAACUGACGCUGAGGAGCGAAAGCGUGGGUAUCAAACAGGAUUAGAUACCCUAGUAGUC
rnacentral:rRNA from 1 species